rnacentral:rRNA from 1 species
CACGUAGGCGGUUUUUUAAGUCAGAUGUGAAAGCCCCGGGCUCAACCUGGGAAUUGCAUUUGAAACUGGGGAACUAGAGUGUGUGAGAGGGGGGUAGAAUUCCAAGUGUAGCGGUGAAAUGCGUAGAGAUUUGGAGGAAUACCAGUGGCGAAGGCGGCCCCCUGGCACAACACUGACGCUCAGGUGCGAAAGCGUGGGGAGCAAACAGGAUUAGAUACCCCUGUA